GACGAACGCUGGCGGCGUGCUUAACACAUGCAAGUCGAACGGAACUCUUUGGAUCAAGACUUCGGUCAAGUGAGAUUGAGUUUAGUGGCGGACGGGUGAGUAACGCGUGAGGAACCUGCCUUUCAGAGGGGGAUAACAGUUGGAAACGACUGCUAAUACCGCAUAACGUAUUUGAAUCGCAUGAUUCGGAUACCAAAGCUGAGGCGCUGAAAGAUGGACUCGCGUCUGAUUAGAUAGUUGGUGGGGUAACGGCCUACCAAGUCGACGAUCAGUAGCCGGACUGAGAGGUUGAUCGGCCACAUUGGGACUGAGACACGGCCCAGACUCCUACGGGAGGCAGCAGUGGGGAAUAUUGCACAAUGGGCGAAAGCCUGAUGCAGCAACGCCGCGUGAGGGAAGACGGUUUUCGGAUUGUAAACCUCUGUCUUUGGUGAAGAUAAUGACGGUAGCCAAGGAGGAAGCCACGGCUAACUACGUGCCAGCAGCCG
rnacentral:rRNA from 1 species